UUUUGCUCUAUAGAGAAAGUACAGUGGUCAGGUUCAGGCAUACAGGUAACUAGGUUUAAAGUUUGACAAGUUUUAAGUAUUAUUUCUGGUAUAUCUGUAAGUAUAGCCCAGUAUUUAAUAAGUCGGCCUCCAUCAUCCAUUGGUGGCCUUUGGCUUCUAAGACAAAUCUGGACCUGAUGUGAAGUCAUUACAGAGAGGUGUUCUAUGCUUCGCUAAAGCAUCCAUUUGCAAUUGCACCUCAACAGAGGUGGCUUCUAGAUAAAUAUGACUAAGGGAUGAAACCAUUAAGAAGCCCUUUGAGUGGUCCAGCCUUAACAAUCCUGAUUACAGAGGAUCACUGGCAAGUGGGAGAAAACUUGUCAAGAGAUAAGGGGAGUUCCCCAGAUGGGAAGGCUU